AAACAAAUAACCAUUGUUUUAUCGUAAAGUGUAUAUGAAAUUUCGAGUUAAAGUAUUCUUACGCUAUUCAUGAAAAAUAACAGUAUUUAAGCAUAAAAAUACACUACAGUCAAGACUUCUUCACACUAACCGACUCCCGAUUGUCUCCAAUCCAAUGGCAUUUCUCAUUUUCAUUUAAUUUUUUAAGAACUCAGUAGUAUUAAAGUUCUGUUGGUGUCCAGCAACUUAAAGUGAAAAUAGUUAUUGUUAUAAAAAAAAAGGAUCUACAAAAAAAGCAACCCAAAAGUAGUCCAGCUUGGGUGACCCAGAGUGCAGCACCUUUCUGAAUUUCGUAUGUUGAGCUGCUUUCCCUUUACAGCAGCUCCUUUCUGUUAUCUCCGCCAUAGUUUAGGUUAAAUGUAUGUCGCCGUUUUACAAGACCACCGUUCUUCCCGGUUCCUCGACUCACUCCAUUCAUGGUUACGGACUUACAGGCACAUUCCGGCCACCUAUGUGCAGGUA